CUUGUUUCCUCUUUUUGUUUAUGAGUUGCUUGAUACGUUUGUUUUGGAUCUUUUUUGAUAAUUGUUUGCGAGCAAGAAUCUGAGUAUUGUUAUUGGCUCAAAGAGAGUGUAUUGGCUCAAAUGAUAGACUAAAGUCGAACGAGUAUAAAUCACUAGGACACAUUAUUGGUUUAUUUAUAUUUGUCAAAUUUUGCAUCUGCUUGAUAUAGGUCACAUAUAUUCUACGCCUCCGUACAACACUAGGCACUUGGACAGAUUCCACCUGACCUGUCUAGUAGUAGUGAUAAAAGGAGGGCAAAAGGAUCCAUCUCCAUUUGGCAAUGGCAGAACCAACAAGCUCGGUUAAAGUAGUUGAAGUUUGCAGGGUGGCUCCCCCUCCUCCACCCUCACCCGGUGCAUUCGCGUCCCCGAGCUCCCUUCCCCUUACCUUCUUCGACAUCCGUUGGUUAAGAUUUGCGCCGGUCCAGAACCUUUAUUUCUACCAAAUGCCUACUUCCUCUACAACACCGCUCUUCUUUGAUUCCAUACUUGUCCCAAAACUCAAAGCCUCACUCUCUAACACCCUCCAGCACUUUCUACCUCUGGCAGGAAACCUCACUUGGCCUCAAGACUCCCAAAAACCUGUCCUUAACUAUGUCCAAGGCAACACCGUUUCGCUCACAAUAGCAGAGUCUGGUGCUGAGUUCUACCAUCUUUCAAGUGGUGACUUUGUUGAAGCCACAGAGUACCAUCCUCUUGUACCCCGAUUGGAAGCGUCUCAUGAACAAGCUGCAGUGAUGGCAUUGCAAAUCACUGUCUUUCCCAACUGUGGCUUUUCGAUUGGAACUUCCUUUAACCAUGCAGUCCUAGAUGGCAAGAGUAUGACUUUUUUUGUAAAAUCAUGGGCUCACAUUUGCAAACAUGAUGAUCAAUCUAAUUCAGUGCUACCUGAUGAGCUGAAACAAUUUUAUGACAGAGUCAUUCAGGAUCCAGCCGAGCUUGGAACAAUCUACUCGAAGGACUAUCGAAAUAAGGACGGUCCCGACAAUAGGAGCUUAAUGUUUUGGGAGAUGAAACCACCACCAGACUCAAUCCGAGGCACCUUUGAAUUCACACGAGCAGAUAUAGAAACACUGAGGCAAUCGUUCAAGGCUAAAAUGGCAGAGCAGAAACCAGUUCAUGUGUCAACUUUCACUCUAGCUUGUGCCUAUACAUGGGUUUGCGUAGUCAAAGCAGAGGACAUAAAAGCUGACAAAGCACGUCUGGUCUUUAGCAUGGACUGCAGGUCUCGCUUGGACCCUCCUAUACCUGCAAACUAUUUUGGAAACUGCGUAGCAGGAUGUAUGAUAGUUGCCGAAACGAAAGGCUUGCUUGGAGAAGAUGGGUUGGUUGUCGCCGUGAAUGCAAUUAGUGAAGCUAUAGAAAGAUUGAAGAAGGGGGUUUUGGAUGGGGCAGAGACUUGGGUUUCAAGGUUGUUUGCUGUGAGAAGUGAGGAAAGAAUACUCAGCAUUGCUGGUUCAAAUCUGUUCGGAAAUUAUGAUACUGAUUUUGGAUGGGGAAGACCAAAGAAGUUUGAGAUUGUUUCCAUAGAUAGAAACAGAGCUAUCUCCCUUUCAGAUUCCAAGACUGGUGCUGGGGCUAUUGAAGUUGGGUUGGCUUUAGACAAACAUGACAUGCACGUUUUUGCUUCUCUAUUUGCUAAAGGUCUUCGAAACAUUUGAAGCGCAUGAAGCCUCCGCAACAACAUUUUCUUUUUGCACUCUAUAUUUUCUGGCAUAAUAAUUUGGGAUUCGUUGGUCAAUAGUAGACCAACCUUGUAUGCUCUCGAAAAUCAGCUUUGUGAUGAUGUUUUUCUUUGGACCAGGUGCAGGUGGCUCUGUCCGUCUCUUUUCCUAUGUAGCUAGCUCUGUUUCUUUUCGCUGGGAAGUUUCGUCAAACACUUGGUGGGCAUAUUGGGUUCGCCCACCAAGCUUUCAAGGGGUCGCCGGAGCACCUUCCCAGCCACUUUUCCGGCCUCCAAGGGGACCGCACUGUGGGUCCGCCCAACGCUUGGCUUUUCUGUGAAUUAGAUAUGGUCAAUAGUUUCUAACUCCAAUAGUCCAAUGGCAGAGCUAAGCUCAACCUCAGUGAAACUAGUUGAGGUCUGCAGUGUAGCUCCACAACCACAACCAGAUGUUGCAGAGUUUUCUCUUCCAAUAACCUUCUUCGACCCCCUAUGGCUAAGGUUUCCACACUUCCACCGCCUUUUCUUCUACGAAAUUUUGGCUUCCUCUGCCUUAGCUGACACAAAACCCUUCUUUGAUUCUCUACUCCAUCAAAAACUCAAAGCCUCACUCUCUGUCACCCUCCAACACUUCCUACCUCUGGCAGGAAACAUCACUUGGCCCCAAGACUCCGACAAACCCGUUCUCAGUCAUGUCCAAGGCGACGCCGUUUCGCUCACCACAGCCUCUUAACAAGAAGAAGAGGAUGAGAUUUAGGGAUUUUUAUUUUCAAGAGAAGAAGGAAGAGAGAAAGCAAGAAGGAAAAUAGCCUUGUAAUUCUGUAUUUCUGAUUAUGUGUAAAUGAAAUGGUAAAAGCACAGUUUUAGUACA